rnacentral:lncRNA from 1 species
GGCAGAGCUGCCUGCUGGGCAGCUGUCUGAGAUGCCAGUACUGAGGGCAAACUGCUAGGGAAUACUUCUGACCAUGUGUGCUUGCAUUGUUGCUGAACUUAGAGGGUCUCUAGCAGGUUCUAGGUCUUUCUCUAGGCUUGAGGUGCUCACAGCUGGACUGCAGACUCCCCCUGACCAUGGGCAUUUCCCUUCUCUGAGCACUGCAGUCUGUGAGGCCGGGGACAAGGCUGGAGGACUCCGUAGUGCUUCUGACAUGGUGCAUGUCUCAAAAGAAAAAAAAAUAGCUGGUUUCUAUUGACUAAGCCCAGACUGUAGCACUGCCUGGCUUCUUGUCUGGCCUCUUGUCAGCAUUAGCCUGCGUCAUCAGUUUCAGCCCUGAUACAUUCACUGCUGGUACAGCUGUGCUUCUGGGAUGAGUCAACGCUCACUUUACUCCAGAGAGGAGCGCACAGCCAGUGGGUGUGGCAGGCUGGGGAAGCCCAUUGCUGCUCAUUUUCUGCAUCCUGGGCUGGGGACUUGGAGUUCAUGUCUUUAGGCUCCUUGAUACACAGACUGCUCCUUUCCAACUCCUGGCCAAACAUCCGGUGCCUGACAGCCUGCAGCGUGGGGCUGCGUGCAUGUCCUCCUAUGCUGGGGCCAAGGCUGUACACAUUCCUCUGACUAUACAGUUAUUCCUGCACUAUUAAUAGCUACUAACUAGACAUUAGGAGCCAGCAGGACAGACACGGCUAGGGAUGCCCGACAGCUGCUGUUUCUCCCAGCCUUGAGUGUUUCUGUCCCCUGGCCUGGCCCACCUGAGGGCAUCACCUGGCUAGGAGCUCCUCCCCCACAAGGCAUUAUGGACUCCUGCACAGGGAAUCAUGGGGCUGACUUUUAGUAGGAGGAAACAGGUUAGCUGUCGAACUUGGGAAACCUGCACGGGUGGGAAGGUGGGGACUGAUCCUCGUGGUCACAGGGUGGCUACUGGCCUUUACAAACAUGGACAGCCCUCCUCCUGCCCCGCACAAGGUUCACCCACUCUCCUGGGCUUCCAAGCUUGGCAUUCAGGCCCCUAUAUUUUCUGUAGGAAAAAAAGAAUUGUUCAGAACACUUUUUUUAUAUAGGUAAUUUUAAAGACCAUCAUUACGCUGUGCGUAAAGAAUGUACAGAGAAAUUUGUAGGUAUUUUUUGAAGAACAAUUAAUUUGUUAAUGAUAUGUAGCUAUUUAAUUUUCCCUUUCCUAUCAUAAUCAUUCAUUUUUUUGUUGUUGUUGUUUGGGGGAAAAAAGUUGAUCUUUUUUGUCGUAGGUGUGUCUGUAAUCGUGCAGGUACACAGUUACUCCAUGACAACACUGCGUCCGCAUUAAUAGCCACUAGUUUGUUAUUCUACAGGCUACUGAGGUUGUCACAGGAAAACAACCGCACCGCGGACUGGCUCUGUGGGCAACGGGCCUCAGAUACCCGUCAGUGAGCGGGUCGUCGCUGUUGGGGGAGGGGGGGAUGGCAGUGCGGGUGGCUGGGUCCCUGGUGCGCUGACCUAUCUGGAAUAGGCCGUGCCCUGGAGUGGGAUACCUCAUUUGUCAGCUGAGGAGCCUGCCAGCCCGCUUGGGCAGGAGCUUGCGACCUCCCCAGAACCAAGCCAUCUAUGUGUGUGCUGACCCCUCUGUGUUUGUAAAUCUGUAAUAUACCAUUUUCUGUGGCCUGUUUUUUUUUCCUGGAAG